rnacentral:ribozyme from 1 species
GAGCGGAGAAAAUCCGCUCACCUUAAUGCAACUUCCGACAACGGGAACGGUCACAAGUCCGUGUAAAUGCAGAGUGAGGA